UGGGGAAUAUUGCACAAUGGGCGCAAGCCUGAUGCAGCCAUGCCGCGUGUAUGAAGAAGGCCUUCGGGGUGUAAAGUACUUUCAGUCGGGAGGAAGGUGGUAAGGUUAAUAACCUUAUCAAUUGACGUUACCGACAGAAGAAGCACCGGCUAACUCCGUGCCAGCAGCCGCGGUAAUACGGAGGGUGCAAGCGUUAAUCGGAAUUACUGGGCGUAAAGCGCACGCAGGCGGUUGAUUGAGUCAGAUGUGAAAUCCCCGGGCUUAACCCGGGAAUUGCAUCUGAUACUGGUCAGCUAGAGUCUUGUAGAGGGGGGUAGAAUUCCAUGUGUAGCGGUGAAAUGCGUAGAGAUGUGGAGGAAUACCGGUGGCGAAGGCGGCCCCCUGGACAAAGACUGACGCUCAGGUGCGAAAGCGUGGGGAGCAAACAGG
rnacentral:rRNA from 1 species